rfam:Papilio machaon contig47385, whole genome shotgun sequence.
UCAAAGGCCCUUUUCAGGGCCACAAAACGCAUCGAAUUUAAUUUCU